rnacentral:rRNA from 1 species
GUGCCAGCAGCCGCGGUAAUACGUAGGGUGCGAGCGUUGUCCGGAAUUAUUGGGCGUAAAGAGCUCGUAGGCGGCCUGUCACGUCGGAUGUGAAAGCCCGGGGCUUAACCCCGGGUCUGCAUUCGAUACGGGCAGGCUAGAGUUCGGUAGGGGAGAUCGGAAUUCCUGGUGUAGCGGUGAAAUGCGCAGAUAUCAGGAGGAACACCGGUGGCGAAGGCGGAUCUCUGGGCCGAUACUGACGCUGAGGAGCGAAAGCGUGGGGAGCGAACAGGAUUAGAUACCCUGGUAGUCCACGCCGUAAACGUUGGGAACUAGGUGUGGGCGACAUUCCACGUCGUCCGUGCCGCAGCUAACGCAUUAAGUUCCCCGCCUGGGGAGUACGGCCGCAAGGCUAAAACUUAAAUAAAUUGGCGG